rnacentral:rRNA from 1 species
AGAGUUUGAUCCUGGCUCAGGGUGAACGCUGGCGGCGUGCUUAAGACAUGCAAGUCGAACGCAGUCUUCGGACUGAGUGGCGCACGGGUGAGUAACACGUAACUGACCUACCCCCAAGUCGCGAAUAACCAGCCGAAAGGAUGGCUAAUACGUGAUGUGAUGAUCCGCUGUGGCGGAUCAUUAAAGACUUGAUCGCUUGGGGAUGGGGUUGCGUUCCAUCAGCUAGUUGGUAAGGUAAAGGCUUACCAAGGCAACGACGGAUAGCCGGCCUGAGAGGGUGGCCGGCCACAGGGGCACUGAGACACGGGUCCCACUCCUACGGGAGGCAGCAGUUAGGAAUCUUCCACAAUGGGCGCAAGCCUGAUGGAGCGACGCGGCGUGAGGGAUGAAGGUUCUCGGAUCGUAAACCUCUAACCAACGACGAAAGACCCGACAAGGGAGAUGACGGUAGUUGGGUAAUAGCACCGGCUAACUCCGUGCCAGCAGCCGCGGUAAUACGGAGGGUGCAAGCGUUACCCGGAAUCACUGGGCGUAAAGGGCGUGUAGGCGG